rnacentral:lncRNA from 1 species
GGCCUAGGAAGCUACCAGGGGCUGGUUUGGUGGUUGCAUUUAUAGAUGAUCUAUGUGUAGCAGCAUCAGAAAAGGGACAGGUUGUCGUUCCCUUCACCACUCCUGCCUUGGACUACAAAACCCUGGACCAAACCAUCACCAGCUGUCUCCUGGACAUAGAACAGUUUUCAACUACUGUCCCCAAAUCUAUUCUUGCCCUCCUGGACCCUCUGCUAUGCUGCAGCUAGUAUGAUCAGAAAAGACAGGGAAGAGUUACCAGUCCCCAGGAAAAGCUGUGGCUGUAGGAAAGGGCUCUCUGCCAGGAGCCCCUGAGUGGAAUCAAUGAAGGAGUAGGCCUGCAGUAGAAUGAAUGAAUGAAUGAAUGAAUGAAUGAAUGAAUAAAGAAUAAAUACCGCA